rnacentral:rRNA from 1 species
AUCAGCUAUGGUUCCUUGGAUCGUACAUACUACAUGGAUAACUGUAGUAAUUCUAGAGCUAAUACAUGCCACUAAGCCCUGACCCGCAAGGGGACGGGUGGAUUUAUUAGAACAGAACCAACCGGUUGUGGCUUCGGUCAUGGCCGUUGUACUCUGUGAUGACUCUGGAUAACUUUACUGAUCGCAGUCGGCCUUGUGUCGGCGACGGAUCUUUCAAAUGUCUGCCCUAUCAAUUGUCGAUGGUAGGUGACCUGCCUACCAUGGUGAUAACGGGUAACGGGGAAUCAGGGUUCGAUUCCGGAGAGGGAGCCUGAGAAACGGCUACCACUUCUAAGGAAGGCAGCAGGCACGCAAAUUACCCAAUCCCGGCACGGGGAGGUAGUGACGAUAAAUACGGAUACGGGACUCAAAAGAGGCUCCGUAAUUCGAAUGAGUACAAUUUAAAUCCUUUAACGAGGACCAACUGGAGGGCAAGUCUGGUGCCAGCAGCCGCGGUAACUCCAGCUCCAGAAGCGUAUAUUAAAGUUGUUGCAGUUAAAAAGCUCGUAGUUGGAUCUGGGUCGCAUGGCUACGCGCCGUUGCUUGUGAUCUCGGUUUGGUUACGACCGGAUUGAGUUCAUGAGUCGGUGUAGUGGUUGUGCAGCCUUUCUGCCGUGUCUGUUUUACAGGUGCUGGCGGAUUGUUGGGUUCGCCCUUCAGUCUGUCGGCAUGCUUCCGAAUGCCUUUAAACGGGUGUUGGGGGCGGACGGCACGUUUACUU